UCUGUCUGCAUAGGGUCAUGUGUGGUCCUUGGGUCCUUUGUGUGAUCUGGACCCUCAUAUUGGUUCCCGGUGGUCUGCUGCUCUGCUACUAGGACUUGGGCCUGGACCUGGACAAGCUCUAGAACUGGUACAUCCUGUGGCUGACUGGAGGAAGUCUCCAGUGGGUCCUCAAACUUGAUGAUAGCAUCAUCAGCUCAAAGAAUCAUCCUCUUCCUCUUCGGAGGCCUCUGUAAUUGCUCCAGCUAUGGAUGAGCUGCUAGUGUUGGG
rnacentral:lncRNA from 1 species